AGGGCACCACCAGGAGUGGAGCCUGCGGCUUAAUUUGACUCAACACGGGGAAACUCACGCGGCCCGGACACCGGAAGGAUUGACAGAUUGAUAGCUCUUUCUUGAUUCGGUGGAUGGUGGUGCAUGGCCGUUCUUAGUUGGUGGAGCGAUCUGUCUGGUUAAUUCCGAUAACGAACGAGACUCUAGCCUAUUAAAUAGACGUCGGGUUCUCUGCACUCGACGGUCUUCUUAGAGGGACAAGGUGCUUUUAGCACCGCGAAACAGAGCAAUAACAGGUCUGUGAUGCCCUUAGAUGUCCGGGGCCGCACGCGCGCUACACUGAAGGAAGCAGCGUGUAACAACCUUGUUCUAACGAACUGGGUAACCCGUGGAACUUCCUUCAUGAUUGGGAUAGGGGUUUGCAAUUGUGCCCCUUGAACGAGGAAUUCCCAGUAAACACUAGUCAUCAGCUAGUGCUGAUUACGUCCCUGCCCUUUGUACACACCGCCCGUCGCUACUACCGAUUGAAUGGUUUAGUGA
rnacentral:rRNA from 1 species